ensembl:lncRNA
CUGACAAGGAUAGUUCACUCAAUGAAAUUGUUCCAUUUUAAAGCAUUCAGUUUAGAUUUAGAUUAAAUUGUAUCAUGUUCAGCCAGUAAUUUUUAAACAUAUGUUUCAUUCACCAUCACUAUACUGACUAAACCCGUAUGACCAGUUUUUCACCCUCGAGCCCCACCCUUUACAUCUAAGGACAGGAACAAAGCAUAAAGGAGGAGAUUAAUAAAAUGUGUGAGGGUCAACCUCUUUUCAGGCUUUAUAAAGGACUUGGUCACUGUGCUGCUCACUUGCUCACAAACCCAUCUCCUCACUCUACCAGCACAGGAAUAAAUCACCAGCCAACUUUGCCACCAUGGUUAGCAAGGAAGAGUUCAUGAAAUUUUCUGAUGGAAAUGAUAAAAUGACCAAGAAACAAUUCACUGACAUGCUGGCAAUACAGCAACCGGAUGCAAACCAAUGUCAGGUGAAUGAGCUUUUCAAGGCUUUUGAUGACAACUCCGACGGGAUGAUUUCCUACGAAGAAGUUGGUAUUUUCAUUAAAAAGCUCGAAGACUACGCAAAGCAAUGCUCAUAGGUCAACCUGACAAUGUUUGAGUGAAAGCACUUCAAAUGUGAACAUCAUGUAAACAAAAAUAAAUCUUUGAGGAUUAACA